CCGGUAAAGUGGCGCACGGGUGCGUAACACGUAGGCAAUCUUCCCUCAGGCGGGGGAUAACUACCCGAAAGGGUAGCUAAUACCGCGUAAGACCACGAUCUCCACGGAGAUUGCGGUCAAAGGUGGCCUCUUCAUGAAAGCUACCGCCAGAGGAUGAGCCUGCGGCCCAUCAGCUAGUUGGCAGGGUAACGGCCUACCAAGGCUAAGACGGGUAGCCGGUCUGAGAGGAUGAUCGGCCACACUGGCACUGAAACACGGGCCAGACUCCUACGGGAGGCAGCAGUGGGGAAUCUUGGACAAUGGGCGCAAGCCUGAUCCAGCGACGCCGCGUGGGUGAUGAAGGCCUUCGGGUUGUAAAGCCCUGUUGAGGGGAAAGAAAACAGUGAGAUCUAACAGGUCUCGCUCUUGACGGUACCCCUCCAGAAAGCACCGGCUAACUCUGUGCCAGCAGCCGCGGUAA
rnacentral:rRNA from 1 species